GGAAUAAGCAACUUGUAUUCCCAUGAGGCCAUACGCCGAUAUAUAUAUACAUGUACAAGUGUGGAACAUAUGCAGGAAACCCCUUAUACAACGGGAUAAAUACAAAGGAGUACAUGACUUAUAGUAUAACUCUAACACCUCUCAUAUCAACGAUUUCUUGAAUAAUUUUCUCUCUUAUCAAUGGUGAACCUGUAUCAUCAGAUUUGGCCAAACAAUCAGUGUUGAAUAAGGAACUUCACAUGCUAAAUAAAAAAGGAAACAUGUGCAUUGAUAAGAGAAUUUCGGAACAACCUAAACUGUGAAUAUGCAGAAAGCUAAUUGAACGCACUUCUACAAAGUCGCUCAAACAUGGAUCCAAUUAAUAACCCUGUAAACCCCCAACCUUAUUUUUUUAUGUUAUUUGGGGAAGGUAGAUACCGCAAUUUUGGAGCGUAUACACCACUGAUAUAAGCUCCUUGUUGUUCAAUUGUAUUUCAAUGUAUAGAGAAAUAUAUAUCACUCAAGGAUGGUUGAAUAGCUAGAUUCACAAAUGUUAAGAUUUUUCAAGCAUGCACGCAUACCUUUUUGGUACCAUGUUAACAACAGGAAUCUAAAAGCAAAUGCACCAUUGCAGCAUUUAUGUAAUUAAUUUAUCCACACUUAUAGUGAUGCACCUCUCUUGUUAUGCCGCUGAUUUUCACCCCAAGUGUAACCCACAGCAUUGGGAUGCGGCCUUCUGAAGGUAUCAAUGGAGCCUCUCAUACCAAUGAUUUCUUGAAUAAUUUUUUCUCUUAUCAAUGGUGAAUCUGUAUCAUCAGAUUUGGCCAAAAAAUCAGUGUUGAAUAAGGAACUUCACAUGCUAAAUAAAAAAGGAAACAUGUGCAUUGAUAAGAGAAUUUCAGAACAACCUAAACUGUGAAUAUGCAGAAAGCUAAUUGAACGCACUUCUACAAAGUCGCUCAAACAUGGAUCCAAUUAAUAACCCUGUAAACCUGAAGAUCAAGUGAAAGAAAAAAUGAAAUAGAAACUUCAAGACUACUUGCACCUGAACUGAAUGUAAUUUGUACUUGGAACCAAGAAUAUAGAAAAGCAAGAUUAAGUGUUAUCCUUUAGUCCUCAAUUGCCCAUGUGCUCUCUCCUUCCAACUUCGUCUCCUCACUCUCGUGUGUAGUCUAAAUUUACUUACUCAAGGAAGAAACUUAGGGUGAAAAGGAAAAAAUUGGAGUCUUAGAUGGCAGCACUCUGACAGGAUAAUAACCAAGAAUGGUUCCACCGAGCAUUAGAGCUGCUCUUGUACAGCCUGCAGAAAAAUACAGAAUUUCAGCCUACAAGAAUGGCUCCACCAAGCAUCAGAACUUCCAAGAUCAACUGCAUCAGGACCUCCACCGAGCAUCAGAGCUGCUCUUGUACAACCUGCAGAAAAGUACAGAAUUUCAGGCUGCAAGAAUGGCUCCACCAAGCAUCAGAACUUCCAAGAUCAACUGAUGAGGGGUACUUCCAUGUGAUCUUUAUUAUUUAGUACAAGCUUUAACUAACUACCGAAGCACCCUAAAGAAAUACCUCCAAUCCAAGCACACUGUUACAGAGAUCUUUUUAUACAAAACAAAAUUUCUGACCAGACAAUCGACAUGCAGUUGACUGUUGAUUAAUUACAUGGCUUGUCACAACUCUAAGCGGAAAGAUGGACCCUUAGAAUCAAGAGAGAAGUAAACUUUGCUGAUGAACAAUUCACAAGAAGAAUAAAAAACUUACCGGCAUUCAUUAGAAGACCGCUUUCUAUCUUCUGAUCCAAAUUCCAGUUUGACUUUCCUGAAUCAAGUCGACCAAUUGUUAAAUAGACGACAAAGAGCAUAGAUAUGGUAUCAUAAAGACAGUCACAAUACCGAUUGCAUGUGGUUAAUCCAAGUAAACAACAUUACAUAUUUGAUGUUCUUCCCAUGCUUCCUGUUCAGCAAAAGGAUUCAUUUUAUCUUUGGCCUUAGGAUCUCUGCUUGUCUAGCAAAUUUAAAAAAUAAUAUAUUUAAACAAGUUCACAGGAAAUUACAUAGAGUCUCAUACUGUCAUGUAGAAGGACAUACAUACCUGUAUCACUGCAUUGCUACGGAGAAUCUCUAUUCUUGAUUAACACCUUCACCCAUGUCAUAAGUUUCAGGCAUUUUGCACCAAAAAUUAUGUGAUUGACGAACUGAAGAAAUUGGCAUCAAGAGAUCAUAGUGUCAUCAAUAUUCUCAAGAGGUGGGGGGCAUACCUCAGCAACAUCAACAUGCUCCUUAACAUGACCAUUAAUCUGCCUCUUGUAUCUGCACACAUAAACCGUUAAAUGCCCCAGAUGUACGCCACCAUAACCAUAACCGCAUCCACCUACAUGAAACGGAACACAUUGACUACUCCUCAACAUCCACUC
rnacentral:lncRNA from 1 species